rnacentral:rRNA from 1 species
AACGAACGCUGGCGGCAUGCCUAACACAUGCAAGUCGAACGAGACCUUCGGGUCUAGUGGCGCACGGGUGCGUAACGCGUGGGAACCUGCCCUUAGGCUCGGAAUAACUCCCCGAAAGGGGUGCUAAUACCGGAUAAUGUCUUCGGACCAAAGAUUUAUCGCCUUUGGAUGGGCCCGCGUUGGAUUAGCUAGUUGGUAGGGUAAAAGCCUACCAAGGCGGCGAUCCAUAGCUGGUCUGAGAGGAUGAUCAGCCACACUGGGACUGAGACACGGCCCAGACUCCUACGGGAGGCAGCAGUGGGGAAUAUUGGACAAUGGGCGAAAGCCUGAUCCAGCAAUGCCGCGUGAGUGAUGAAGGCCUUAGGGUUGUAAAGCUCUUUUACCCGGGAUGAUAAUGACAGUACCGGGAGAAUAAGCUCCGGCUAACUCCGUG